rnacentral:rRNA from 1 species
UGGGGAAUCUUGCGCAAUGGGCGAAAGCCUGACGCAGCGACGCCGCGUGGGGGAUGAAGGCCCUCGGGUUGUAAACCCCUUUCGGCAGGGAAGAAGCGAAAGUGACGGUACCUGCAGAAGAAGUCCCGGCCAACUACGUGCCAGCAGCCGCGGUAAGACGUAGGGGACGAGCGUUGUCCGGAUUUAUUGGGCGUAAAGCGCGCGCAGGCGGCUCGGAAAGUCGGGUGUGAAAACCCGGGGCUCAACCCCGGGCCUGCAUCCGAUACUCCCGGGCUAGAGGCAGGCAGGGGAGAGCGGAAUUCCUGGUGUAGCGGUGAAAUGCGCAGAUAUCAGGAGGAACACCGGUGGCGAAGGCGGCUCUCUGGGCCUGUCCUGACGCUCAGGCGCGAAAGCUAGGGGAGCGAACAG